UGACCUGCCUGUCUUAGUAUAUUUAUCCUUUCCCUAGGGUUUUCAUUUUGAGCUCCUUCAUUUUCUCUACAAUGUCGCCGCAGGGAGCUAACUUCAACUCCACUUUCCUUUUUCCUUGUUUUGGAUCAUCAACACCUUCCUCCUCUUUUUGUUUGCAGGCCUUCGUUUCAUCUUACAAAGGGAUUCACUCCGGUGGAUGGAAGUGUUACCACUAUGGUGGCUGUAGAGGUUCCUCGUCUUGUGCUUGAGCUCGAAGUACCUUGUAAGUAAAGUUCAUUUUUUGAUUUGGUUUUGCUCAUCCUUUGUCGCUUCUGAUCUUCUCUUUCUCAACUGAAUCAACCAUGGAGCUAUCUCCUCCUUUCUGGUGCUCUUUUUCAUGGUCUUCCACUUCAAGCAUGGAUAUGAUAAGUUUCAACUGACCCUAGAACCUCGCUUUUUGCUGGAUGUAACUUUUUGUAAGCCGUCAUAGCAUAGACUUCGUAGCUUAAUGAUCUCAGCUACCACUAUCCUGUAAGAGGCCAAACAAUGUUUGUAAAUAUCGUAGCUGAGAUUUUUGUGCAUUCCUUAUGUGUAAUCUUCACUGUAAUUAUGCUUCCCUAUUUUAUCGAUUCUGAACGACUAUCUUUUUGCUUUUGAUUCUCAA